rnacentral:rRNA from 1 species
UACGUAGGGUGCAAGCGUUAAUCGGAAUUACUGGGCGUAAAGCGUGCGCAGGCGGUUAUGUAAGUCAGAUGUGAAAUCCCCGGGCUUAACCUGGGAAUGGCAUUUGAGACUGUAUAGCUAGAGUGAGUCAGAGGGGGGUAGAAUUCCACGUGUAGCAGUGAAAUGCGUAGAGAUGUGGAGGAAUACCGAUGGCGAAGGCAGCCCCCUGGGAUAACACUGACGCUCAUGCACGAAAGCGUGGGGAGCAAACAGG